rnacentral:rRNA from 1 species
CCUACGGGAGGCUGCAGUGAGGAAUAUUGGUCAAUGGGCGUAAGCCUGAACCAGCCAAGUCGCGUGAGGGAUGAAGGUUCUAUGGAUCGUAAACCUCUUUUAUAAGGGAAUAAAGUGUGGGACGUGUCCUAUUUUGUAUGUACCUUAUGAAUAAGGAUCGGCUAACUCCGUGCCAGCAGCCGCGGUAAUACGGAGGAUCCGAGCGUUAUCCGGAUUUAUUGGGUUUAAAGGGUGCGUAGGCGGCCUUUUAAGUCAGCGGUGAAAGUCUGGGGCCCAACCAUAGAAUGGCCGUUGAAACUGGGGGGCUUGAGUAUGUUUGAGGCAUGCGGAAUGCGGGGUGUAGCGGUGAAAUGCUUAGAUAUCACGCAGAACCCCGAUGGCGAAGGCAGCCUGCCAAGCCAUGACUGACGCUGAUGCACGAAAGCGUGGGGAUCAAACAGGAUUAGAUACCCGAGUAGUC